rnacentral:misc_RNA from 1 species
GAAACGCGAUAGUUAAUGUGAAUUGCAGAAUUCAGUGAAUCAUCGAGUCUUUGAACGCAUCUUGCGCUCCUUGGUAUUCCGAGGAGCAUGCCUGUUUGAGUGUCAUGAAUCCCUCAGCCCCCAUUGUUUUUUGUUAAGCAAUUGGUUUGGGUCUGGAUUUGGGCGUCUGCCAAAGCGCUUUUUCAAGUGCUUGGCUCGCCUCAAAGAGAUUAGCUGGACCCCAUUCCGAGCUGGUUCAACUCGACGUGAUAAUUUCAAUCGUCGAGGUAUGGUCUUCGGACCAGCCAGGUGUAGGAAUCCGGUCUGCUUCCAACUUUCGUCUGAAGCCAGCAAUGGUGUGAAGCGGAUUUUUUUUAAUGCUCUGGCCUCAAAUCAGGUAGGAUUACCCGCUGAACUUAA